GCGGGGAUGGCGGAAUUGGUAGACGCGCCAGAUUUAGGAUCUGGUUCCGGAAGGAGUGAGGGUUCAAGUCCCUUUUCUCGCA
rnacentral:tRNA from 1 species